UACAGGGGGGGCAAGGCGUUGUUCGGAAUUACUGGGGCGUAAAAGGGCUCGUAGGUGGCCAACUAAGUCAGACGUGAAAUCCCUCAGCUUAACUGGGGAACUGCGUCUGAUACUUGGAUGGCUUGAAUCCGGGAGAGGGAUGCGGAAUUCCAGGUGUAGCGGUGAAAUGCGUAGAUAUCUGGAGGAACACCGGUGGCGAAGGCGGCAUCCUGGACCGGCAUUGACGCUGAGGAGCGAAAAGCCAGGGGAGCAAACGGGG
rnacentral:rRNA from 1 species